AUAAGAUGCUUUCCUCAGCAGAAAGGAGGGAAAAAAAACAACUGGAACUCAAAGCUUGAAAUUCUGUGGCAAAACAUGAGAUGUCCAGGAUUGGAGGUUGAAAAGAUUUCACUACAGUGUUCUGCAAUAGUUGGAGCAGAUAACUUUCAGUGUAGCCACAGCCAUGGACUCCAGAUUUCCAGAUUUUCAAGACCUGGACCUGGAACCCGAAAGAGCUUGUCACGAUGCGGCAGGAACACUGGAGGUAGAUUUUUUUUUAUUUUUGAAUUUUGGGACUGUUGACCUUGCUGUGAGAAAAGAGACAACGACUGAGCAAGCACUACCACCAGCACUGUUACUGGGAAUUAGAAGACCUGAGUUUCUGUCCAGACCCUCAGUGCAAACUGAGGAUGCUCCAUCCAAAGUGAAUUAUGAUAGCAGACUCCUUGAAAGCAGGGUCCUUGUUUAGUGCAUCUUUGCCCACAUACACCACAACAUAUCAAGAUGCAUUUAUUAGGAAGGAGGAGUUUAGAGAGCAGGCUAUCAGAAUAACCACUCACCUACAGACCUGGUACCUGGAUUUUUGCCCGAGAUGAUUCCUACCACCUUACUACUGACGAAGACACCCAUUCCAGUGGACCACUGUGACCCAGGAGGCAUUCAGCCAUCAUGAUGUGGCCUUUACCUCCACUCCUGUCUUGUUCUACCCAGAUUCAGCACAGCCCUUUAUAGUGAAGUCAGAGUCCUCAAGCCAAAUAGCUAAAGCUGUUUUAUCACAACAAAGGCCUAGUUUGUUCCAUGAGUGUGCAUUUCAUUUCUUCAGUUAAAGCCUUCAGAGACACACAAUAAAUUUGGACCAGGGGAUUUUUUAGUUAUUAAUGCUCUCUGAAGAAAGGCAACAUCUUUUUGAGAGCAGCAUUGGACCACACCCCACAAUCUCAAAUGAUUGAAAUUCAUGAACAUCUAGGAUCCCGUGAAGGUCACUGGACCCUGUUUUUUCUACUUCAAAUCCUGUAGUAGCCUACUGAAUGAGAAAACAUAUUCUGACCCAUUGGGAUCAAAUCAAAGGCACAGUGAACUCCUCAUAGCAUCUUCUUUGGAAUUACUCAGGAACCAGAACUUUUUACACAAAUGUAAGAAAUUCUACCAAGGAGUCCCCUUACCUAACAGCAUCUCACAAGGCUGCACCAGAUUCCAGAAAAGGCUUCUCUUGAUACAUCAAGGUAGAACCUCUAUGCAUUUUGUGACCGACUUAUUCUUAGAUCAUUGGUUUUCCAAAGGCUUUGUGGCCAUGAAGCCCUUUGAGUGAAAACUGUGCAGAAGCCCAGAGUAAAAGUGAAGCUGCUCUGGAUGAAGUAGUGAAGCAAGAGUAGGGGCCUGAAUCCUGCUACAACUAUCUUCCUUUACCACCGUGGUGACACCUAAGGGGACUUCCUUACAACACCUUGAACUCUUCCGAACACAGUUUGAAAACCACUGCCCCAGACAGCAAUAUGUUUGACCUGAAUGGCAUUCCAAUCUUUUCUGUACCUCCACUCAGCACAGUUCAUGUUCAGUAGAUGCUGAACAUUCUUAGAAAUACUGUGUGUGAACUUAGAAAAGUGCAAGAAGACAGGCAUGUCUUUGACCCCAGGAAUGAUCAUUUGCUGAAGAUGGUGUCAAGUGAACCUAGAUUAACAGCCCUCCACUCCAGAUGGAUAUCCAGUGAUUCCUAGAAUGGGAUAUAGCCAGAGAACAAUUCUAUGCACCCUACACUGACAGACUCCCUUAAGCAACACCAGAUGCUCUACUGGUACUUGAAGUACAUGACUUUGAAGUCUUGACCCUCCAUGAAUACCUGAAUUAUCAGCAAGCGGGUUUUGAAGCUGGUGCCUCAUUGAGGCCAUAUUAGAGCAACUUGUACAUUUGACCUCUUGUUAUCAGCCAUGGUACUCUACUUCGUGUGCAAGAGAUAACUAUGAAAGCCAAAUUCAAAUACUGGCAACAUUUCCUAAAGGGGCUCAAUAUCUAUCAUUCGUCUUCUUUUCCAAACUACACAUCACUGUAUGACUCAACCAGUAGCAGUUAUAUUGCCCCUUGGUUUUUAUUCAGUUUAACUACUGUUUCCAAGAUAAAUGAGCUAAUAAGCUUUAAAAAAAAAAAAAAAAAAGGCUGAAUUCUUUUUUCUUCAUCACUGGCAUAUCUGCCUAUUCUCCAGAAUUAUUAUGACUAUUCAGCUCACUUUAACAGUUGAACUUCAAGCGACAAUCUUUGAACACCCCUUCUCAUGUGAUUUAAAAUGAAACCAUUUGGAAAAGUUUCUUCUAGCCAGUAAUAGAUUUUUUUUUUAAUUGCUCUGCCUUGUGCCGAGAGAUGUUCUUUUAAGAUGAAUCUUUUGAUGUCUGAUACCACCAAAUAUAGGUGGUAGGGAGAGUUGGAGGCUGGCCCUUUGAGCAGGCCAUUAGCUUACUUGCUGGGCAUUUCCGAUAGCUUAUUGCCUACCUUUUUGCUGGAAACAAACUGAUUUGAAAAACAAAAUCUAUGAAGACUGCAGCUAAGGAUUUUAUCGGUAGACUUAAGAGCUUUUGUCCUUGUGGAUAUUUUAGUGGAACCACAUCAGUCUCAAUACUGUCAUUUUACACUGACUCAGAGCAGCUGACUUCAUUCCUUGCCAUGAUAUAUAUUUAAGGCAGGCAUUGUAACAGACAUAAAGACAACUUAUCUGUUUCAGCAGGAAGGAUUCAGUUUAUGAACUCUCAGACCAGAUCAUGUUGAACAAGGAGACUUUGAUGUGUGUCAUGAGAAAACUCAUUCUUUACUUCCCAGUCAAUUUAAAGGCCAGCUAUCCUGAGCUACUCGAAUGAAUGCACUGGUUAAACAUUGGAAAUAGUUUGUUUAUAUCCUUGUCUCUCUCUAGGCCAAUUGUGAUUACAUGACUCGACUCUACAUCUCGUCAAACAAGGCCUAGGUCUGGUUGCUGUAGACUGCUCGCCCUCAACAAAUAAAAUCUGGUUGACUAGCCUCCUUGUAUAUACAACUAUUAUUUGUUAAGAAGAAAUUAUCGUCAAUUUUCUACUACCUUCCAAUUGUCAGCUCUUUUUUUCCUCUCUGGUUUUUCCUAUACUUUACAGAAAAAGACAUUGAUCUAUACUGCCAUUCCCUCUAAUCCUGCCAUACUCAGUCAAAAGGAAUGACUUAAGAUGAAGAUGAUCAUCUGCUCGAGUCUAAAAUAUACAUUGUAUAUAAGAAUUGGUGAUUAGAAAAGCAAAAAACCUAAAACUUAAAUCUAGGAGUCUGUAUACUGUCUCCAUGUCUCCAUGCCUCAGAUCUCAUCUAAAUCUUUGAACAGCACCAUUCAACCAAUCUGAGGCCUUGACUUGCUUGUAAGAUGAUUCUCAGAGAUCGGCUGAGUUAAAAAAGAUGACGACUUGAUUACCAAAGAAAGUAGGGCCAACUUUGACAAAUCUGGCUCUGCUGACCCUGUCACUCCCAGAUGUAGCAUAGACUCCUAAACAGAACCUCAAGUCUGAUUGAGGAUAAGGCCUUCUCCUGAGCUGAAAGUUCUUUGGCAGAUGAGCAAGAAACUGAAAGCUGAUGUACCUGACUGGCUCUGUAAGAUCAGAAAACUGUAUCCAGAAUAAGCCCUAUGGAUUAACCCCUGAGUACCCAGAGUAAAAACUAAUUUACAGAACUUCCUUAUUGAUCUGCUGGUUCUUCCAGAUCAUAUUCUGGCUAUUGGUAUGGCUGGCCUUUCUGAAGGUACCCUGCUUGUCUAUUUUCCUGACUCAGCUCUUGCCUGCCUUUUUCACAUGUUGCUGCAAUUAGACUCACCGUGAGGACUACAGUCAAUUUCAGUCUAUCUUGUGCCCAAUACAACAAGGAUUUUUAAUAGUAACAACCCACACCUCACCCACUAGGACUCAAUGUUCACAACAGGAAGGACCAUUGCUGCAUACUCCUUGACCAGCAACUUUUUUGAAGAUAUUUUUAAGUGCAGAGUAGGCCUCUAUUCCUGUAUGUAAUUGUUCAUUUUCAGCACCUGGAACCUCAUCUAUCGGGUCUGGAAGGAAUACAGCAGUUCGAAAGCCGCGUCCAUUUCUCUCCUUCAGUAGUGCAGAAAUGAGUCCGAUUCACCAGUACACACAGAACUGUACCAGUUCAACCUAGCAAAAGAAGAAAAGUUUCCACUGUACUUAAAAUUUACAGCUGACUCAAAUUGCCUCACAGAAUUAUUUGAUGUAGAAGGCUAGUUGUCUUACUUCAGAUCAGCAGGACAGUUGGGCUCUCAGACUCAUGACCACUGAGUUUGCUUGUGUUGAAACUGUGGUUUCAUCCAACAUAUGCUAUUGGACAUGAUUAUUAUUCCAUUCAAAUGGAUUACAGACUUCUUGAGGACAGGACAAACUUAUCUCUCAUGGUGUUUUUUUAGAAUACUUUUAUAACCAAGGAAGAAACCAUGCCAGCUGUUACCAUUCAACUUCUUAAGCAGAGAUUAAGCUUUUUCAUAUCUGUUCUUAUCCUGGACAUCAGUAGUUUUUAAUUGCCCAGCAUCCGUUCCAUCUUGUAACAACUCCCUGAUGUUUCUUAAAACCACCUCUUCCUAUUUUCAGUCUGUGGUUUGGACAGUCUGACCCAACCUUGAGCUUUGUGGGUGAACAUGUAAUUCAGACCUCAUCAAUCAGCAAAUCCAUCUGAACUGUGGAGGAGAAGCUCUCUUUACUGAGGGUGCUUUAGCUUUGUAGGAUGAAAACCUCAAACUAACAGGGCCUACCAUGUAGAGAAUGAAGCCAGUGCAGGGGAAAGCAGAGCCAAAAUAUGGAGAGACUUGAAUCCUGAUGACAGCGUUUGUGCCCCUGGAUCCAACCGUGCCUGAAGCUAGAAUAUCCCCUGGACUUUUCAGUUAUGUGAACCAAUAAAUACCCUUUUUUGCUUAA
rnacentral:lncRNA from 1 species